GGCGCUGCGGGGAUUUUUCAAUGUUUACUUGACUAUGAGGCAACCUGUAUAAUCUAUAAACCUUGGUAUUACCUAUCAUAACCUUACCUAACCUUAACUACAAAAACCAUAAUAUCGAAUACCUAACUAUUACCGGUAAUCUGACGAACGUCUCAUUGCAGCUUGGCAAAAUGGCUGCUGCGCGCGCAGCUUCUCUUAUCACACCAUUAUCACUGUUAUUUUCAAAUAUGAUAAUCUGAUUAUGCGCGCGCGCGUGAUAUACUCAAUACUGAUAGCAAAAAUAACAAAUUUAUUAAUUAAAAGUUAAGUGUGAUUUAGGUAAUUUAUUUUGUCAUGAUUUAAUAAAAGGCUUUGCUAUUGCUGUUUUGCUGGAUUUCUUUUUUGUUGAAUAAAGUCGAAGCUGUGGAUCUAUUUUUCUUUGAACAUUGACUUCUUCAACUGUUUUUAAGUGUGCUUGUCCUCCUUCGCUCAUUAUUGCUAUAAUUUCUGCCAACUUUUUUUCAAUUUUUUGUAAGUUUUCAUUACUAUAUUCAUUUGUUGAACUCAGACCUAAAAUAAUUUCUGUUUGGCUUAUGAUUGUUUGAUUUUUGUGAGCUUUAUGAUGACUAGAAGUUGCAACCAUAUCCAUUACCUUUUUUUGCUCUGUCGUAUUUGAGUAGUACGAAACAGUGUGUUCAGUAUUGUCGUCUAAACUUAUAAACUCACGAGCACAAGCAUGUAUGUGUUUACAAAUAUUCGCUUUAAUAACAUUAUCAAUGCAAGUGCAAUGAAAGGUGUGAAUGCAAAUAUCACACUUUAUGCAUUUCAAACAUGAUGAAUAUGAACAUGUUUCAUCAGUUUUUAUAAUAUAGUGCUGCUGCGAGGGAUUGGAUAAGGAUUUGAUAAUAUAUACUUUUUUAUUUUCCACAAUUUGUAUUUGUUCCAGUUUAAUUAAUUUACUUGAAUUAUGACUUUGACGUACUCUUUGGACUUUUUCAGUAGGGACAUUUUUCGAUAACUUAAUCAAACGUUUGUAUAGGCUAUCUCUGGAAUAUUUCAUAAGAGCAUUAAUUGUUUUGUCCAAACGUUUUACUCUUUUUCCUUCCAAAUAUAUGUGUUUUAAUACUUUAUGAAACGAUUCCAAGUACAUGUUGGUAUUAAUUCCAAGUCUUAGUCGAUAGCAAUAUGCCCAACAUUCAUCCAACAUAAAUUUUGUCUCCAGUUUUUAUCGACGUGCCAAGUACACAGAAGUCUAUGUUCAACUGAUCCCAUUAUGGUAACCCAAGCAUUAUAAAAUGCAGGAGCAUCAUCUGUCAUAUAAUAAUAAAUAACUCCUACAUUGAAUUUGAUUUUUUCAAAAAAUAAUUGAAAAAUUAGCUCAUCGGAUCGAUUUGAUAAACAAAAUGCAACUGGGCAACCAGAUCCAAAUUCAUCUACAGUGACAACAGUAUACAAUUGAAUGUCAUAUGCAUUAGUUCCAUGCACUAGAUGACAUGAUGCUCAGCUGUUAAGAUACAAACAAAAAUAAAAUACUAGCUAAAUGAAAAUCACAAUAAGUAUAAACACCUAUGUCAGCCUGAGAUUAAUAACUUAUUUUUAGAAGAUUUAUGACUUGGAAAUUUCUUGUUAUUAUGUAUUAUUUUAAAUGUUCAAAUAUUUUAUAUAGCAAUCAAUGAUAUUGUAUUUGGAGUUGAAUAAAAUAAAUGUCAUAUAUCUAAAUAUGUAUACACAAGUAACUAGGAACAUUUCCUAUUUCUAAUAUUUAUAAAAAUGAAAAUAAUAAAAUACAUUGUAUUUAUUUAAAU